CAACAGGGAUUGCCCCAGUAACGGCGAGUGAAGCGGCAACAGCUCAAAUUUGAAAUCUGGCUCUCGGGCCCGAGUUGUAAUUUGUAGAGGAUGCUUUUGGUGAGGUGCCUUCCGAGUUCCCUGGAACGGGACGCCAUAGAGGGUGAGAGCCCCGUCUGGUUGGACACCGAUCCUCUGUAAAGCUCCUUCGACGAGUCGAGUAGUUUGGGAAUGCUGCUCUAAAUGGGAGGUAUAUGUCUUCUAAAGCUAAAUACCGGCCAGAGACCGAUAGCGCACAAGUAGAGUGAUCGAAAGAUGAAAAGAACUUUGAAAAGAGAGUUAAACAGUACGUGAAAUUGUUGAAAGGGAAGCGCUUGUGACCAGACUUGGGCUUGGUUGAUCAUCCGGGGUUCUCCCCGGUGCACUCUUCCGGCUCAGGCCAGCAUCAGUUCGCCCUGGGGGACAAAGGCUUCGGGAAUGUGGCUCUCUCCGGGGAGUGUUA
rnacentral:ncRNA from 2 species